UAGCUAUAUUUCUAAAAUAUUAGGAGAUUUGUAUUGUGUAUGUGCUGGUGUGUCAGAGGUCUCCUUGGAUUCCUAAGUUGUAUUUCUGUGAGGAAAAAGUCUUGAAAUAAAAAUCCCAUAAGAAAUAAAAUCAUCCCAUCAUGAAAAAAAUAGAGUGAGUUCUAAAGACCAAUAAAGGCACAGAAAUAAAGCAUGUCAGUAAUUGGUCAGACAUGAAUGGAGGAUACUGUGUGAAUGUUGGAACCUCUGCCAGAAUGAAUAUAUUUCAGCAAGAAAGUAGCACUACAAGUGUAAAGGCAUUUAUUGCAGUCUAAUUUUUACUUGCUAAAAACUAUAAAUACUUAAAUGUCCAUGACAAGGGGCUGGUUAAAUAAAUCAUGUUAGAGCCAUUCAAUGGAAUACUAUGUAGCUAUUAAUGGACUCCUCAUCUCCACUUGUCCCUUCUUUUCCCCCAGCUCCACUCCCCACCCUGACAGCAGUGACUGCCUUCUUUCCUCCCAUCCCCUCCCCACCCCUGGGCUUAUUUGCCCUAAGUACAGUCCAUGGCCCAGCCUGUACCACUUUGUGUUCUGGAUGUUCAUGUAUCUUUCACUUUACACUAGCAUUUCUCAUACAAUUUCUCCAUAUUCAUGCAUCCUCUAUAUGUUAUUUUCUUUCAUUGGUUACUCUGAUUCAGCUCAUUUUUUUGUUUGCAUAGCCCUAAAGAAUACUAUUCCAGCAAUAAUGAGCAUGAAUAAUUAGUUAUAUGUUUUUUUCUAAUACAUAUUAAAAGAAAUACUUAGCUACUUAAAUAAAAAAAAAUUGAUGGCUAUGCUGUCUCUAA
rnacentral:lncRNA from 10 species